GCUUCUGUGUUACUCUUCCAUGUGUUAUUAGUAUUUUUGAAUCGAUGAAAAGAAAAUGUUUUGACUUUUAUAUGAUUUUACAGAUUUUUCUGUAUCACCUAUAAAAAAGUAUAAUCUCAGUGCUAUGUGUGUGUGUUACUAAACAUAUUUUGUUCUUGAUAUGAAAAAAUCUAUGUUUUUUUUAUUAUUCACAGAUGAACCCAAUGAAUUAUGAAAUAAUUCUGGGAAUCAACAAUCAACACCACCACUGGACUUUAGUGGUGAUCUACCCACAAGACAAAAAGUCUUUGUUCUUGAAUCCACUGGGGGAAUCAAAACAAGACAUCCAGAAAUGCUUGCAAAUCACAAGGGCAUUUAUGAGGAAGAAGGGGUGCAAUGUCUCACGUUGGACAUGUGACACAGUCAAGCAUCCAAAACAACAGGAUAGCUCAUCAUGUGGUGUAUUUUCACUGAAGUUUGCAGAAAAAAUCCUGUCAAAAGAGGUUGUGGAUUUUCCUGUUUCCAGAGAGGCGGUCCACAGCAUGAGGUUGGAAAUUGCUGUGAGACUAAUCCUUAACAGUGGUGAGGAUAACAUUAAUAUUCUUAUUUUGAGUGUUUAUGACAAUUGUUAUCAUGAUUACUAUUAUUUGUAUGUUUGGCUAAAACAUCUGUACUUAGCAAAACUUAAUA